CCAUUAGUUAGUACUCUCAUCUCUCGGUCUCUCCCUCUCACAGAUUGAAACACCCACUUGCCAAGCUCCUGCCCUAGAUCCCGCCAGCCCAGCUCUUCCCCGCUACCAGUGUGCCCCUCAAGCUCUUGCCCUAGAUCCCACCGGCCGCACGCGGCACGCCACAGCCUCUAACUUCGCCCUCCUUCAUCCUCCCCUUCUCAGUGGGAGAAGAUCUGAAAUCGCAGCAUCGACCUCCCCUCCUCAGCAGGAGAUGAUCUAAAAUCGACCAUUGUUGCCUCUACUUCCUUCGUUCGUCCCUUCUCAGCUUCUCAUUGUUCGUCUCUGAGAGCUUCAGGUUUGUGGGUUGUGCCUUCUGACAUCCUCUCCUCCAUCAUCUUCUAUUCGGACUUUGGCGACUCUGCUUCGUCUCUCAGUGUCUGUGCACCUCCAAAUCGGUCGAUCAUGGCCUCCCUCCUCAACUCCAUUGCUCGGAUUCCGAGCUUCAUUGAAGCCUUCUGGCACAUCUCCAGUCCAAAGGGGUAACUUCAAGUCCUCUUCCCUGUCUUUCAACUCCACCGCUUCUGUUGCCCCUUCAUUUGGUUUUCAACCAUCGUCGCCUUCUUCUGAAGUACAAGGUGUCUUCUCAUGGUGAAAUCAUAGGUGAUGCUUGAGUCGGGGAUGAUAGGGCUACUCAAACAACAAAGCCUUCAAUGCCGGUUGCAAGUGGGACUACAAAAAGAAAAAGCAUGAAGCCAAAUUAUAUAAGAAUUUGGGGAUAAGGAUUGUAUGGAAUUUGUUGUAAUUUUGUUAGUUUGUUUGGAUGUUAAUUAAGUUUGGAUUGAUGCAAGAAAGAUGAAGUUGAUUAUUAGUAAUAUAUGUCUGGAAUUUAGAACUUUUGUUACACCUUUCAAAUAUUUAAAUUCAUUGUCCAAAAGAAGCCCAAAAAA